rnacentral:rRNA from 1 species
GACGAACGCUGGCGGCGUGCUUAACACAUGCAAGUGGAGCGACGAACCAGGGCUUGCCCUGGGGCAGAGCCGCGAACGGGUGAGUAACACGUGGGUAACCUACCCCAAUGACCGGGACAACCCGAGGAAACUCGGGCUAAUACCGGAUGUUCUCGUUUUUCGUAAGUGAAACGAGUAAAGAUAGCUUCGGCCUUCGCAUUGGGAGGGGCCCGCGGCCCAUUAGCUUGUUGGUGGGGUAAUGGCCUACCAAGGCUGCGAUGGGUAGCUGGUCUGAGAGGACGAUCAGCCACACUGGGACUGAGACACGGCCCAGACUCCUACGGGAGGCAGCAGUGGGGAAUCUUGCGCAAUGCGCGAAAGCGUGACGCAGCAACGCCGCGUGGGGGAAGAAGGCCUUCGGGUUGUAAACCCCUUUCAGUUGGGACGAAGCUUCGCCGGUUAAUAGCCGGCUGGAGUGACGGUACCUUCAGAAGAAGCUCCGGCUAACUACGUGCCAGCCGCCGCCGUAACAC